CUGAGUCAGUGCAGUGGAUGGUUCUGUAGCGAAACUGCAGUUAGAGUAGCCUGCCUUGCACAGAAAUGGCUAGAUAUGAAUAAGCCUGUCAUGCUUCAUCAUUGCCUGGGACGGUGGCCCAGGAAGAGCAUGGCCUCAGCGGAGAAGCUACCCAGCUGAGUCCUGAAGGUGCUGCUGAAGGAGGCUGCUAGCUAGCUGCCGUCUUCCCAGCUGGGCAGCAUGUUCUUCCUUCAGAGCAGACCUGAUGGUCGCUCUUCCACAGCCGACACACUUCUUGGUUCUUUUUAUUACCAUUAUUACCAUAAUACAUCAGAUCGUUGAGUGAAAAGCACAUGUUUUCGUUUUCUUCUGGACAGGAAUCUGGAAAUCGGCCUUGAAGCGGUGACAGCCAACUUGACCCCUUGCAGAGAGUCUGAGAAUGAAAAGGCAAGUCAACAUGAAUGAUGGAGCCAAGAGGCUGAGCAAGGUCUUUCAGGAAGGCAGAACAAGGAAGGGAAGACAAAAGGAGAGAAGAGAAUAGUAAUAUAGUAAUAAAGAGAAUAGUAAUAAACUAUUACCUAUACUG